UACGAAGGGGGGCAGAGUCGUUGAUUCGAAUUGUGGCGUAAAGGGUGCGUAGGCGGUUUGGUAAGUCUGAUGUGAAUCUAAUGGCUGCACAUCCAUAGUCUGCAGUCGGAAACUGCCGGGCUUGAGUGAUGGGAGAGGUGAGUGGAAUUCCGUGGUGAGCGGUGAAAUGCGUAGAGAUCGGAAAGAACACCACGGCGAAAGCG
rnacentral:rRNA from 1 species